UGACAUGUAAAUAUGAUAGCACGGCUUGUAUUUACUUAAAAACCAAUAUACCUAAAUUUAAGUGUGUUCUCUCACAAUGGAAAGUAAAUCAUUGUUACUGAUUGUUAACUGGUCCUGUUACAAUAGAAGAAAAUUUCUGCAUUUAGUUUACUUAGUAGUGAAGGACACUGAACAAUUUCUACAGCCAAAUAUUCAGUGAAGAUAAAUCACCAUUCCUCACUUUAACCAGACCACAACCACUUUCAUUUCAAUACUGAGUGCACGACCAACCACAUAGCAGGGUGACAUGCAGGAGAUUUCUGUGCAACACCAGGGAUUUGCAGAACUGCUGCAAAGGGACAAACAAACAAAUGUGAUUUAAGUGAGAUAGUGGAGGAUGCUGCAGCUGGUAGUUCCAAAUCCCUUGAAGACAGGCCUGCACUGGAAAACUGCCAGGUUGUGCAGGGCAGAUCCAGCCAGCCCUGUGGUUUGCAUCAUAAAGCAAAAGACCUGACUGUGCUCCUCCCAACAAUACUCCUGCAGGACCUGGAAGUUUUACCAUUCAACCCUGGGACCAUAUGGCUGGGAUCUCGUUUUCUCUCCUUCUGGACUUUCUCUACACACUUGGGAUCCUUUCUGAUCCUUUUAGAAACUUCCAGGAUGGCACCACGAGCUAUGCAGAUGGUACAUUCUUGCUUCUUGGAGCAAAGGAAAGACAUCUGGACACUGUCUAAUGAGUUGAUCAGCUUCAACAGUCUCUACAAAAUACCAAGGGUCCAAGAGGGGCAGCCGGACGUUCUCCAGCACGUAUGGC